rnacentral:rRNA from 1 species
AGAGUUUGAUCAUGGCUCAGGAUGAACGCUAGCGAUAGGCCUAACACAUGCAAGUCGAGGGGCAGCACAUGAGUAGCAAUACGAUGGUGGCGACCGGCGCACGGGUGAGUAACACGUAUGCAACCUACCUUUAACAAGGUGAUACCCCGUUGAAAGACGGACUAAUAACCUAUAAAACAGGGCUCCCGCAUGGGAAUAUUUGUUAAAAGAUUUAUCGGUUAAAGAUGGGCAUGCGUUCCAUUAGAUAGUUGGUGAGGUAACGGCUCACCAAGUCAACGAUGGAUAGGGGAACUGAGAGGUUUAUCCCCCACAUUGGAACUGAGACACGGUCCAAACUCCUACGGGAGGCAGCAGUGAGGAAUAUUGGUCAAUGGAGGCAACUCUGAAACCCGGCCAAGUCGCGUGAAGGAAGACUGCCCUAAGGGUUGUAAACUUCUUUUGUAAGGGAAUAAAGUGUAGUACGUGUACUAUUUUGCAUGUACCUUACGAAUAAGGAUCGGCUAACUCCGUGCCAGCCGCCGC